rnacentral:rRNA from 1 species
UACGUAGGGGGCAAGCGUUGUCCGGAAUCAUUGGGCGUAAAGAGCGCGUAGGCGGCCCAGUAAGUCCGCUCUGAAAGUCAGAGGCUCAACCUCUGAAUGCGGGUGGAUACUGCUGGGCUAGAGUCCGGAAGAGGUGAGUGGAACUGCGAGUGUAGAGGUGAAAUUCGUAGAUAUUCGCAAGAACACCAGUGGCGAAGGCGGCUCACUGGGCCGAUACUGACGCUGAGGCACGAAAGCGUGGGGAGCAAACAGG